rnacentral:rRNA from 1 species
AACGAACGCUGGCGGCAUGCCUAACACAUGCAAGUCGAACGAGACCUUCGGGUCUAGUGGCGCACGGGUGCGUAACGCGUGGGAACCUGCCCUUAGGUUCGGAAUAACUCCCCGAAAGGGGUGCUAAUACCGGAUAAUGUCUUCGGACCAAAGAUUUAUCGCCUUUGGAUGGGCCCGCGUUGGAUUAGCUAGUUGGUAGGGUAAAAGCCUACCAAGGCGACGAUCCAUAGCUGGUCUGAGAGGAUGAUCAGCCACACUGGGACUGAGACACGGCCCAGACUCCUACGGGGGGGAGCAGGGGGGAAUAUGGAAAAAUGGGGGAAGGCCUGACCCAGAAAGGCCGGGUGAGGGAGAAAGGCCUUAGGGUUGAAAAGCUUUUUUACCCGGGAUGAAAAUAACAGUAACGGGAAAAAAAGCCCCGGCUAACCCCGU